UCCAGGGUAGCCUAGUGGACAUGUCACCUGCCAGGUAAGCAGAAGGUUGUGGGUUCGAUUCCCACCCCUGGAC
rnacentral:tRNA from 1 species